UGGCUCAUACUUUAGUACAAGAACAAUUAAAGUUGGGACAUAUAAAACCCUCCACUUCUCCAUGGAAUACACCCAUAUUUGUUAUUAAAAAAAAAAAUCUAAAAAGUGGCGAUUAUUACAUGAUCUACGGGCCAUUAAUGCUCAAAUACAGCUCAUGGGGCCCAUUCAGAGAGGUUUGCCUUUACUUUCAACCAUUCCCACACAUUGGCCAGUAAUAUGCAUAGAUAUUAAAGAUUGCUUCUUCUCCAUUCCGUUACAUCCUCAAGAUUCCAAACGUUUUGCCUUUAC
rnacentral:ncRNA from 1 species